CCCUCACUCAUCUCAUAAACCCAACACUCUAGAUAGUACCCAUUUAACUCUUCACUCUAUCACUCUCUCUUCAAACCGACACUCAAGGUUCAACUAAGCUCCGUCGGUGUGGGGGAUUCAGCUCCAUCGGUGUUGGUGCUAACUGUAAGAGAUUCAACUUCAUCAACGACGGGUUUUCGCUCUCUGGCACGGGAUUAGCAUCAUAAAAAAAUUUGCUCAGGUUCAUCUUCCAUACCAGGAUGGUAGAAUGGUAUGCUGUGCAGAAAAUGACUAAAGGGUCAGGACUUAGGAGAUAUAAUAA